AUACGUAGGGGGCGAGCGUUGUCCGGAAUGAUUGGGCGUAAAGGGCGCGUAGGCGGCCCGGUAAAUCUGGAGUGAAAGUCCUGUUUUUAAGAUGGGAAUUGCUUUGGAUACUGUCGGGCUUGAGUGCAGGAGAGGUAAGUGGAAUUCCCAGUGUAGCGGUGAAAUGCGUAGAGAUUGGGAGGAACACCAGUGGCGAAGGCGACUUACUGGACUGUAACUGACGCUGAGGCGCGAAAGUGUGGGGAGCAAACAGGAUUAGAUACCCUGGUAGUCCACACUGUAAACGAUGAAUGCUAGGUGUAGGGGGUAUCGACCCCUUCUGUGCCGCAGUCAACACAAUAAGCAUUCCGCCUGGGGAGUACGGCCGCAAGGUUGAAACUCAAAGGAAUUGACGGGG
rnacentral:rRNA from 1 species